rnacentral:rRNA from 1 species
CACGUAGGGUCCGAGCGUUGUCCGGAAUCAUUGGGCGUAAAGAGCGUGUAGGCGGCCCGAUAAGUCCGCUGUGAAAGUCCAGGGCUCAACCCUGGGAUGCCGGUGGAUACUGUCGGGCUCGAGUCCGGAAGAGGCGAGUGGGAAUUCCGUGGUGUAGCGGUGGAAUGCGCAGAUAUCAGGAGGAACACCGAUGGCGAAGGCAGGUCUCUGGGCCAUAACUGACGCUGAGAAGCGAAAGCAUGGGGAGCGAACAGG